rnacentral:rRNA from 1 species
CGCGACCGAUCAUGUAGUUUGCGAGGCAACGGCUCACCAAGCCUAUAACCGGUACGGGCCGUGGGAGCGGGAGCCCGGAGAUGGGCACUGAGACAAGGGCCCAGGCCCUACGGGGCGCAGCAGUCGCGCAAAGUAUGCAAUGCACGAAAGUGUGACAGGGCUAUCCCGAGUGCCUUCCGCUGAGGGUGGCUUUUUCCCAGUCUAGAAAGCUGGGAGAAUAAGGAGAGGGCAAGUCUGGUGUCAGCCGCCGCGGUAAUACCAGCUCUCCGAGUGGUGUGGAUGUUUAUUGGGCCUAAAGCAUCCGUAGCUUGCUGAUCAAGUCCCCUGUUAAACCCAACGAAUCAAUCGUUGGAUUGCGGGGGAUACUGCUCGGCUAGGGGACGAGAGAGGCCGACGGUAUUUUCGGGGUAGGGGUGAAAUCCUAUAAUCCCGAGAAGACCACCAGUGGCGAAGGCUGUCGGCUAGAACGCGCCCAACGGUGAGGGAUGAAAGCUGGGGGAGCGAACCGGAUUAGAUACCC